rnacentral:lncRNA from 1 species
AUGAACAACAGCGAACUGAAAAUAUUCGCUAGCAUCUUUUUGAACGAUUUAACCACGUUCAACUGUGAUUCCCACUGGCAUGUGAUAUCUCGUGUGGAGGAAAUCUACUCUAUCACCAACAGGUGGAGGCUAUGCUGGGCUAGAGACAGAGAGUGGAAGCCAGAUCUCCUUCCAAAGGAAAAGCAGCAUAUAAAAGCAGCCAAGGGGCAUCAUGAGGACGUGGGCCAUCCAGGCAACAGCACCAGUCCGUGACGAUCUCUGAGCUGAAGCAAGUAAUAUGGACAGCACAGUCUUAAAGCAGUGGCUACAGCAAAAGGUUUGUGACCAGCCAGUCGACAAGGUUGACGUGUUCAAGGAAUGUGUUAUGAAUAUAUGAUUUCACAACAGCUACGUUCCUAAAAAUCAAAGCCUGCAUGUGCUCAUUUGAAAGGGGAUGUCGGCUGCAUAGACUCCCUUGUUCCCCCAGCACCUUGCUCACUGCUCAGGGUGUGUAGCUUUUCCUUGUUACGCAGCUGGACAGAAGGCAGAGCAGGGCAAUGAAAUGAUUUGUCCCUGUUAUGAAUGCAGAGGACUGAGAAGGGUGCCCCAAAGACAUGCUAAAGCUACGCGUCUGUCUGCCUAUGCAGAACUUCUUCCCUGUGAUAGAUUUCUGUGUUCAAUUCCAGCUGGUUUGAGCACUGGGGCCCUUGAAUCCUUCGGGAAUUGUGAACAGAAGGCACCUGACAACUGCUUUAAUACUUAUGCUGGAAGAGGUCUGCUAGUCUUUUAAUACAUGUAACGUUUCCUAUGUCUGCAUGCGGCAGGUUUUUUGUAGCAGGGAUUUAACCGUGGAUCUUUUUAUUUAAAGAACCAGGCUUUAUGUCCACGGUAAAAGACUGAGCUGUUGGUUUAUACCCCCUCAGAGAUGUCAGGCACUAGAGGGAGACAGAAUCAUGCUCUGGAAGUACAGACUGCUGCUUCCAGUGCUGCCAGCCCUCACCCCUAGCUGUCGUUAGCAGUAGGUUGUGAAAAAUGUUCACAUUAUUACAUUAACAAAACAGUUUCGUUGACAGUGAUUGAGCCAAUCUGUUCAGCCCUGACAGUGAGAAAUCUCUUCUCUGCCUGCAAGAGCAAUUUGUGUAAUUAUACAUGUGUCAAUGAAAUGAGGUGAGGAAUAAAUCAGUGUCAGGGCACUAAACCA